CAGACAUUCCCCAAUGCUGCGAUACUAAGAUGAGUGAGACAUAGCUCCUAUACCAUAAGGUUCUUUAGAGUUAGUGGAGCUGAUCUUAGGGUGAAGCUGGACUUGGGAGCUGAAACUAGGAUUCACCCCUUAGAGGUAGCCUCUGUGCAUGUGUUAGGAAGUUGCCUAGAAACCUCCGAACCAAGACUAGGUUUGGGUAUAUGGAGUUCUCAGGUGUCAGUUUCUGGGGAAGCGAACUGUGGGAAAAACAUGGCGUUCUCUUGGCUUUUGUAGAAUGUAGGUCUUCACUGCUGUUCAAAAUUAGGGCCUGGGGCUGCCUCUUUGAGGUAGAUCAGUUAACAACAGAAACUGGGUAGUGUCUGAAAGGGUUAGCUUCCAUGUUGAUGGUAACAGUAGGUAGUAGGUCAGGAGGACAACUCAAAGGAGCCCAGAGAGAGACGAGGUAGGACACCCUUGACUAACCACUUCUGACCUACUGGGACAAAGCAUGGAGAGGAGGGAUGAAUGGGUCCUGCCCCUGUGGGAAACAUUAGAUGAUGCUCUUUCUCUUAGCUACUCUUUUACCCAUUGGCUCUCCUGAGGCCCUGCCAUUCCUACUUAAAAGAAAGAGGUUAUCAGAUGACAGAAUAAGAGAUCAAAUUUAUAAAAAUCAGAGAAACAGAUGAGAUAUGCAGAGAAUGAGAAAAAGAAAGGUAGAUAGUCUUGCAAGCAAAUAGGGGUAGAAAUAAGGCCCCAAACAGGAAGAGAUUAGUGACAUCAAAAAUGGAGACAGAAUGGGUCGCUGGAAGAAGGACAAGGGCAAGAGUAAGGAAAGAAACAGACAUGAGGUUAGUAAGAGUGCUUCAAGAGGGGAAAGAGUCAUCUUGCAGUAUUCUCUCUCCUUUUCAUUGUUUAGAUACAAGCAUAUUUUAGCUGUCUUCCAACUCUCUCCCUCUUCUCCCCUUUCUCCUUUAUUCCGUAAUAAAUAAGUGUUCAGAGCCUGACCAUACCAUGCACUAGGCUAGAAAUAAAGAGGAAAAAGAUGAAUGAAACCAACUCCCCGCUCUUCAUCCGCUGCUUGUGAAUUAUGUGAUGCUCUCCAAAGGGCAGGGAUCAUGAUAAUUAACUUGUAAGUUGGGCUGUAGUUGGGUGCAAGGCUGGGGUGGGCGGGGCAUUCUGUGUAUAUAUCAGAGGAAGACUGAUUUUGAUCACCUCAAAUUUGGGUCCACGGCUGCCAGAUUGGCUGAAACUAUACUUGGGCUAGGGAGCCCAGUGACCUGAGUUGUGGCUAAACAUAUAGACCCUUAAAGUUUAUGGCUCCCCUGAGUGCUAGUUGGAUAAUUUAGGAUUGCUAGGUAGGCAGCUGUGGCAUCCUCACUCACUUAUAUGCACAUAUUGUGGAAGAGAUGAUUAGAUUUUAUCCACUUUUCCUGAAAUAAUACAUAUUAAUGGAAUUAACACACACAGAGUUAUGUACUAUUAUCAAAAUUUGAUAUAAGAUAUUUCACCAUCAAAUUAUGGUUCCUCAUCACAUCUUCUUUGGAAAUUGCUCUCUCUGCUGCAGAUGGCAUCACUAGGGCCCACAUUUGGAACCUCUCCCAAGAUGUGCCCUAGAGUCUAUGGAGUUUGGAUAUUUUAUUCCAGCUCCUCCUCCACACCUUUUGAUGCUGUCAGCAUUCUUCAGAGUAGGCUCCUCUUAGGUUCCUUGACUGGCACAUAAUCUCUCCUGCCCAAAUAAACUCUCAGCCAUGCUUAGCAAGAAGCUGCAUAAUUCAUAGGAAGUGAAAUUUAAAAUUGUCCCCAUCUUUGCCUUUCUAAGCUGCUGCUCGAAAGAGAAUCCAGUAACAUAGAGUGAGGUCUAGGGUUUCCAAGGAUCUGUACUUUCCCCUAUAUCUGGAGAGGGGUAGCUGAUGUCACUUCCAAAUCUCUGGCUUGUGAAUAGGUUCUUAUUCUGCCUGUUUUUAAACAUGCCACCCUCUCCCACUGUUGGCAUCUGUGGGCCAUAUGGAAAGAGGGAACUUUUUCUCUUGAGCUUCUGUGAAGUACGGUUUAUUUUCUAGUUUUUCCAUUUCUCUUUUCAAUGCUGAAGUAUUUUUUAAGACUUCCUUUUAGUCAACAAGUGCCUUCAUGUUUUGUCUCCUCUUCCCUUAGCAAAACCAAAAGUAAGGUAUCCUUUGGCAAGGAGCCAGGUAUAUCACAUCAAGGUAAAAUGACCCAUGGUUCCUCAUUUUGACAUUCAACUUACUGCCCAAAGGAAGAUUUCAGUAGCCAACAGGAAUGUUGCCCCUCCAAAGUGUGCCACCUCCAGUGAGCCUCCCUGUCAUGCCCGGCCUGUGGACAGCCAGCCCCCGCCAUCACUUCAGUCCCCCGCCAAGCAUGGGUGUACUGUGUAGGCAGCCAUGUGGCCUGAUAGUCUCUACCAGUCCUGCUGUCUCUCGGCUGAGAAUCAAACCCAUCCUGAAUGAUGGGAAAUGUGUCCUCUGCUAGCUGUGUUUUCAGUGGAGCUCAGGGGAGGGAAAGGGCCAAGCCAUUACUAGGGUGCUGUUGGGAGCAGUGAAAAGGCCACAUCCUUUCCAAAGGACACUUUUCCUGGAAAGCCCCUGGAGCUUAGCUGGCUCAUCCUGUGAAGCCGGUUCUGGCCACUAGGGUGCAGGGCCAUGAACUCAGCCUGGAGGAAGCCUGCAGGGCAGCUGGCACUCUGGAGGGACAGACAGAACAGGCCACCAGGUGCAGACAGGCAAGGGAGGCAGGAGGAUGGAAUGGAAGAUGCCUGGGCUGGAUGGAAGUCAGUGCCCUUGGGUGCUGGUACCUGCCUUCCCGGCCACCGCUAGAUCAGGAUUCUGAGCCUGUUGGCUGUCAGGGCUGGACUGUGCCCCAUAGGCACCACGGCAGUCCCCGUGGAAUCCCCCAGGUGUCACCAGGCAGCAUCCAGGAAACAGGCCUGGAAGGUCCCCAUCAGCCCAGUUGGACAUGCUCAGACACUCUGGGGCUCCCCAUUCAGUGGCACAAACUCCAGGAGCCAGUGAAGGAAAUAGGAACACACCAGGAUGAGCAGUAUGGCUAAAAGCUAUUUAUUCCAAAAUGAAAAGCAAAAUAAACAGGAGUCUCAUCACCAGGGAGCCACAACCCCAUCCCUGCCUCCCUCCUCUGUCAUAUGCUAUCAAAUAAGUUUCCCAGCCACAAAUAAUUAUUAGAACCUCCUCCCCAUGUGCCAACUCCAACCUCUGCUAUGUAUGAUACAGGGGGCAGCCCUACCCCCAGAAUAUACAAAAUGUUACACAGAUACAAUAUGUACACUGGGGAAGGGGACCCACCUCCAGCAGCUCGUGCCCUCGCCUGGUCUACAUUAGCUCCAUUGUCCUGCCUCAGCUGCCUCUCUGAGUAAAAUGGGAGCCCCCAUGAGGGAAAAAUUGCUUUGGUGGGAUUAACGCCAUCAGAGAGGCCAUGAGGCUUCCUCGAAAGAAAUAAACUCUGAGCCUCUAGCUCUUAAAUAACAAUAAUCGUCUUCCAGAAAUUUAAGGACUCAGCCCUGGCCAAGGCGGCAAAGGGUCUGCACUUGUUUGUCUCAACCCAUUAGACAGGCGGCUUGUCUUGCUACUCUAAGGGUAAAAGGGUGAGUGGGAAUGGGUGGUAGGGACAUGGUAGGGGCACAGCCUCCAACCCCACUUCUCCAGGCUUUGCUGACGGUGGCCUGUUUUUAUUAUUUUUUAUUUUU
rnacentral:lncRNA from 10 species